UUUAAAAAAAAUAUUAAAAACAAAAAAUUGUUUGCGAGUCGUUUCUCUACACGCGUUUCAAUUUCUGUCUGCGAAAAUUUCGAUCUCCAAUCUCUGAUUGUUCCCCACCACUAUGGACGGCCAAAUUGGAGGCGGUAAUGUACUGGUGCUUGCUGAGGAUGUUAUGGUACCAGUUAGUGUGGUAUCCAGUGCAAUCCGCAUCGUAAGGAAAGAGGGGAUUGAGAAGUUGGACCCUAAUAUUAUAACUCAAGCUUCAUCCCGGAGCCUGACAUCAGUGAAGUCUGCUUCUAUGGAUAUCGUUGCUCUCAUCUGUAGGUCUCUCGAGUUUCCUAGUGAUAAAUUGUGUGGGGACAUCUCAAGAGUGUUGAAGCCAGGUGGAACAGUCCUACUUAGUCUAAGUUCUCAGUUAAUCUCGAAGGCAAACUCCACCCAUGAGCGCACAUUAUUGUUGGCUGGAUUCUCUGAUGCACAGUCAUUUGAAGCUGGCCAGUCUUUCGUGAUAACAGCAAAGAAACCUUCAUGGAAGGUUGGUUCAUCCUUCUCUAUCAAGAAAGUCACAAAAAGUUUGCCGAAAGUUCAGAUUGAUGAUGAUUCAGAUCUCAUUGAUGAGGAUAGCCUUCUCAGUGAAGAAGAUCUGAAGAAACCUCAAUUGCCAAGUGUUGGUGAUUGUGAAGUUGGAAAGACAAAGAAAGCAUGCAAAAAUUGUACGUGCGGAAGGGCUGAAGCUGAAACAAAGGUGCAACUUGGACCAACGGCGGAACAGCUGAACAAUCCUCAGUCAGCCUGUGGCAGUUGUGGUCUAGGUGAUGCUUUCCGUUGCAGUACAUGUCCUUAUAAGGGUCUUCCUCCGUUCAAACUAGGCGAAAAGGUAACGCUUUCUGGGAAUUUUCUUGAUGCUGACAUCUAACUGCAGAUGAUAACAGUCUAUAUGAGAUUGCAAAAACCGUUAUAAUUAGGUCAAAAUUAGUUUGUUCAUUUUGGUUGAGGUGAGAUAAGUGAAUGUGUAAUAUGGACUCUUGAAGAAGUGAGGGAAAUAGCAGUGGACUGUGAACUGCUGUUAAGACUUCUAAGAGCUGUUAGAAGAGACUUGGAUUUAUCUGACAGAACAUAAAGGAAAGAAAAUCAUGAACACCAGGAGGAUUGGUGAUCCCAAGUGAAAGGUAGACUUUAUGACUCGCAAUUCCUAGCACUGUGCGUUUGCUCGCUUUUUGCCAUCAUCUUGUUUGGUUGUGGUUGUGGUGUUGUCUGAAUGCCAAAUCAUCUAGAAUGGAAAAAUGAAGCAUUGUCUAAGCCUGCUAAUAUUGCUAUUUCUGCGUGACGGUUUUUCUUUUGAAAAGACUUUGGGUACGGAGACUUACGAAAGAUAAAUUUUCCAUUAUGUUCGAAUGGAAUUUACCAAACCACUGGACGUGAAAGUUAAAAUGUCAGAAUGGAGGGGUAGUCAAUAGAGUAAAUUUUAUUUUACCUUGUUAAUUGUUAAUGGUAGGAAGAUAAUCGGCCUUUUGAAUGAGACUGAUAACUUUCUUGAGCAACACUUUCCGGUUGGUUUAGGUAAGAGGUCUAUACUUUUCCUCAUGUUGGGCCAGAGGGAUACAUGAAAUAUUCAGAAUGAAAUUUCUUUGAAAAAUUUACGGCGAAGAAUAGGGACCCAAGGCUAAGCUUCGAGAUGCAACUUUUCGUUGUUGGAUUGAAUUAAUUUUGAUUCAUCGACAUCGAUUUAUGUAGAGAAUACCUUGGAUUGGACAGUUGAAGACUUGUAAAUUACUUCGCACUAUUUGGUAUGCAAAAUCAGAAACAUUCAAAGUGAAAAAUUUGAGAGGAGCAUCCAUCAGAACUCUUUCGGUAGGAGAAAAGAGAUGCUCAACGAUAUCCAUAGAAUUUCGACGAAAGAGGCAAUAUGAUUGAUGCUACAGCACCCUACAAAUAUUGCAAUAUUAAGUAUUAACUAUA